AUAACGACUCUCGGCAACGGAUAUCUCGGCUCUCGCAUCGAUGAAGAACGUAGCGAAAUGCGAUACUUGGUGUGAAUUGCAGAAUCCCGUGAACCAUCGAGUCUUUGAACGCAAGUUGCGCCCCAAGCCUUCGGGCCGAGGGCACGUCUGCCUGGGUGUCACAA
rnacentral:rRNA from 2 species